GCGCCCGUGGUGUAGUGGUAGCACCUGACCCUUCCAAGGUCAUGGCACCGGUUCGAGCCCGGUCGGGCGCU
rnacentral:tRNA from 1 species